rnacentral:rRNA from 1 species
AUUGAACGCUGGCGGCAUGCCUUACACAUUCAAGUCGAACGGUAACGGGCCUUCGGGUGCCGACGAGUGGCGAACGGGUGAGUAAUACAUCGGAACGUGCCCGAUCGUGGGGGAUAACGAGGCGAAAGCUUUGCUAAUACCGCAUACGAUCUACGGAUGAAAGCAGGGGACCGCAAGGCCUUGCGCGGACGGAGCGGCCGAUGGCAGAUUAGGUAGUUGGUGGGAUAAAAGCUUACCAAGCCGACGAUCUGUAGCUGGUCUGAGAGGAUGAUCAGCCACACUGGGACUGAGACACGGCCCAGACUCCUACGGGAGGCAGCAGUGGGGAAUUUUGGACAAUGGGCGCAAGCCUGAUCCAGCCAUGCCGCGUGCAGGAUGAAGGCCUUCGGGUUGUAAACUGCUUUUGUACGGAACGAAAAGCCUUCUUUUAAUACAGGAGGGUCAUGACGGUACCGUAAGAAUAAGCACCGGCUAACUACGUG